rnacentral:lncRNA from 1 species
AUGGGGCAGCUUUGCAGCAGGGACACGGGACAGCAGGGACACGGGGCAGCUCUGCAGCAGGACCACAGGACAGACUUGCAGCAGGGACAAAGGACAGCAGGGGCACAGGGCAGGAGGGACAUGGGGCAGCUCUGCAGCAGGACAGCGUUGCAGCAGGACACGAGGAAGCUUUGCAGCAGGGACACAAAGCAGAGAUGCAGUAGGACCACAGGACAGCAGGGACACGGGACAGCAGGGACACAGGACAGCCUUGCAGCAGGACAGCUCUGCAACAGGGACACGGGGCAGCUCUGCAGCAGGGCAGCUUUGCAGCAGGACCACAGGACAGCCUUGCAGCAGGGACAUGGAGCAGCUCUGCAGCAGGGACACGGGACAGCCUUGCAGGAGGGACACGGGACAGCAGGGACAUGGGACAGCUUUGCAGCAGGACAGCUCUGCAGCAGGGACACGAGGCAACUCUGCAACAGGGCAGCUUUGCAGCAGGGACACAAAGCAGAGCUGCAGCAGGGACACAGGACAGCAGGGACACGGGACAGCCUUGCAGCAGGACAGCUCUGCAGCAGGGACAUGGGGCAGCCCUGCAGCAGGACAGCUCUGCAGCAGGACAUGAGGCACCUUUGCAGCAGGGACACAAAGCAGAGAUGCAGUAGGACCACAGGACAGCAGGGACACGGGACAGCCUUGCAGCAGGGACACAGGGCAGCAGGGACAUGGGGCAGGAGGGACACAGGGCAGGAGGGACAUGGGGCAGCUUUGCAGCAGGGACACGAAGCAGAGCUGCAGCAGGUCCCCAGGACAGCUCCGCAGCACGGCCGCUUUGCAGCUCUCCCCCAGCCCUGCCGCAGGCUCCCAGCGAGCGGCGCUGCCGACCCAGCGAAGCCCCGAAGCCGCCGGGGAGCUGCGGGCGGGCAGCGCAGCCCCAGCCCCCGGGGGGGGUGGGGGGUGCUCAGCAACACCCCCCCCCUCUCCUCCUCCCCAGCACCGGCUGAUGCAACAGCAGCGGUGCCAGGCGGUGCUUCGAGCCUCCAACACGAGGGCAGGCAAAGAAAUGCGGGCUGCAGCGGCUGCUCUGAGGCUGAAAUCCCAGCUCUGUGCCGUUUGUUUGCUUUGGGAUCACCUGGCACCCCUCGCCCCCCGGCUGGCCUGGAGCUGGGGACGUGGGGGGGGGCACCCCAAAUGGGGUGUCACGGCAGCCCGGUGACACCGCAUCAAUCACAGCCCCCCCCUCCUCCUCCUCCUCCUCCCCGGGUGGCUCGCACGCUGCCGUGGCAUCGAUCCUGCCUGGCUGCCUGUCAGCAGCUGAAAUGCUCCAGCAGCUCUCUGGGAUUUACAGCUCCCGCUGCCCGGAGCACGCCGUUCCCCCAGGAUUAG